AUCCGGCUGACGUGUCCCAAUUAGGACGAAAAGCGCAUCUUAGAU
rfam:Schistosoma margrebowiei strain Zambia genome assembly, scaffold: SMRZ_contig0000276